rnacentral:rRNA from 1 species
CGCGUAGGCGGAUUGGUAAGUUUGAUGUGAAAUACCUGGGCUCAACCUGGGAACUGCAUCGGACACUGCUGAUCUUGAGUGUUGAAAGGGAUGAUGGAAUUAUGCAUGGAGAGGUGGAAUUCAUAGAUAUGCAUAGGAACACCGGAGGCGAAGGCGAUCAUCUGGGCAACAACUGACGCUGAGGCGCGAAAGCGUGGGGAGCAAACA